CCUCCCAAUAGUGAAAGAGCUCAUAGAAUUUUCACUUCGAAUUCUCAGAUUUCGGGUAAAGCUGGGCCAAUUUUCUUCGCUUUAAAGUUAAAGACCAAAUCAUAAAAUGUGCAAGGAAAGAGAGAGUUUUUAAAUUUAACAGUUCCGAGAUCCGUUUUUAUGAAGACUAUCCACGGGAAGUUAUGGCACAGCGGAUCAAAUUUGUUCCAGCUAUGAAGAUAGCCCACGCAAAGGGACUUUUUCCAUCGCUCCGUUACCCUGCUCGAUUAAAAUUACUUCCUAAAGCACCUUGUGUUUUUUUUGGAUCCCCAAGCGGCUUUGGACUAUAUUAAUUCUAUCGUGGAGUUGGCUGACGUAUGAAGGAUAUUAGGGUUGCUGAAUAAUUUCCUGAAAGAAAACAGGCUUUGAAGAUUUCUGAUAUGCUGAAGAUAUCGCUUGAUCGAUGGACUAUUUAAAGAAAGAUUUCUCCAGCACCAAGACAGGAAUCUGAGAUUCGGGCUCCCAUCACCUGAAUAACUGCUGAUUCCAAGCAGAUUGAGCUUUUAAAUCUCAGCCAGCACCAGCCUUGCUUUUGGUUCCGGCUCUGAGGUCACGUGUGCCCGCUCAUGACAGGGCUUGGGUUCCAGCCCGAAACGUCGAUCGAUCUUUUCCACGGAUGCUGCCCGACCUGCUGAGUUCCCCCAGCGUGUUGUGAGUGUUGCUUUGACCCCAGCAUCUGGGGCUUACCAUUUG